CGUAAAAUAAAAAAUGAUACGAAACAUAUGGAAUAAGAAAAACAAUAUUUAUUUUAUAUAUAUAUAUAUAUAUUAUAAUAGAAAAAAUUAUUUUAAAAUAAAAUUUUUAAAUUUCCUACCUACGUUAAUUGUAUUGAAUUCAGAGUUACAUUUUUUUACUUGCGAACUAUUAAUUCUUCAUCACAAAUUCUCAUCACAAAUUUUCAUCACAAUUAUAUUUUUUUUUCACAACGCACAAAAAAAUGUAUAUAAAAUAAAUAAAUGAAUACAGAAAAGAGAAUGAAACAAGCAAGUAGGAUUUUAACACCGAGAGAAGCCAUGUGCAAUACUCGAUUUUUUCGAUAAUCGAUAAAAGUCUCGCAAGUGUCAAUUGUAUGGCUUCAUGGCGCGUUUUCUUGUAGACAUGUUCGAACGUGAUCAGUCAUAAGAAGUAAUUUUAAACGAAGACAGCGAAUACAGUUGUAGCAAAGAGAAUAGUGAUUUUGAUCGAAUCGUGAUUUGUGGCAAAAUAUUUAUCGCAGUAGUGAACAACGAAUUUAACACAGUCACGACGCGUGCACUUGCUUCGGGAAAAUUUGAGAAUCUAUUUUCGCCGUUGAAAGGCGCGCGGGAACGUGUUCGUAACGGAUUUCUCGAACCGUGGUGCUUUAGUACGGUUAGUCUCUCCGCUUCGUGCAGAACUUCGUCGAUCCUGGAAUAGUUUCGUCAGUUACUCAUCGAAGUUUUUCGCGUGUUUGUUGUACGAGCCAACUUGCAGUCGUUUCGGGCGUAUUCGUUCACAUUCAUAUCAUUCUCGGUGUACAUAACCCUCUCUCGUGACAUUUACGUAUCAAUCGAACGUUGAUCGAAAUAUCGAUAAUACGUUUCGAAUUUUUCUCGAACGGUUAGUUCGUUGAUACGAUUGUUCAAUCUGGAAGCUGAUACGGAAAACGCGGGGAUGGAUGCUAUGGACGUCCUCAGUCCUGACACUCUGUCGGGGAACAACAAGGAUGGUUUCAACAACGAAAACAAUGGCAAUAACAAUGAAGACGACGAGGCGCCCACCGUCGAGGAGACUUACGAGGUUACAACUACCAAACGAAAGACGAUUCGGACCAGCUACAAGAUCCAAGAAACAUCUUCAUCAACCAAGACAACCACAAUGACAACUGCAGCAAAGUUAUAUGGCAAAGAUUUGAGUGAAUAUGAUGAUGUGGAUGUGGAUGAUUUAUUGGCACAACUUACCCCAGAAGAAAUUAAUAUACUAGCUAAGGAAGUGGAUCCAGAUGAUAGCUUUAUGCCACCAUCACAGCGUUGUAGCUAUGAAUGUGACAAGAGUCCUACAGGACCAUUAAAUCGUAAGAAACUCAUUGAACAUAUCAACAAACAAGCUUUAGAAACACCGGAUAGACCUGAAUUAAAGCCUUAUGUACCUGGUGUAAUAAGAGGCAAAAAGUGGGUUCCACCUCCUCAAGAAACAACAAAAGAAAAAGAAGCAGAAGAGCAAAUUGCUAUUGAUCUUGGAGAAGAAUAUGAACAAGCAUUAUCUAAUGCUACUCAAGAAGAAAUUAUUGAUCUUGCUGCUAUUCUUGGAUUUCAUUCCAUGAUGAAUCAAGAUCAAUAUCAUGCUUCUCUAUUAAAUUCUGGCCAACCUGUUGGUUUGGGUUGGGACGGUAUAACAAAAGCUAGUCAACCAAAACCUUACCCAAUGGAACCUCCCAAUGAUACAGAUGUUGAUGCUACUAUUAAGCAAGUUAGAGAAGAUGAUGUUUCAUUAAUUGAUUUAAAUUGGAAUAAUAUCAAAAAUAUAUCUGAUGAAAAAUUUAUUCAAUUAUUCGAAGGAUUAGAGAUAAAUACACAUCUCGAAUCUCUAAGUUUAACGAAUGUGGGACUCACUGACAAGACUGCACAAAGGUUGGCAGAUGCCUUAGAAAAAAAUUCGACGCUCAGAGUACUCAACGUGGAAACAAACUUUAUAAGCCCAUCUGUGAUAGUAAGGCUCAUCAGGGCAUUGCUUAAAACGAAAUCAAUAGAAGAAUUUCGAUGUUCGAAUCAGAGGUCGCAGGUAUUGGGAAAUAAAAUUGAAAUGGAAAUUACACAAUUGGUAGAACAAAAUCCAACAUUGCUCCGACUUGGUCUUCACUUGGAAUUCAACGAUGCUAGACAUCGCGUAGCUGCACAUUUACAACGCAACAUUGAUAGGAUCUGUCGUGUGGCACGCGCGAAGCAAGAGGCCGGUGAACCUGCUAAAAGUUUCACUGUCCCAGUAGGUGGUGUAAGAAAGGAAUCGUAGCGCUGAUUAGCGCAUACGGCAGUCCCGGCUCGGGGUGGCGACAUCUUAACGCGAAGUGGCGUUCGCCUAGAUAUUUUAUCCGUGUGGCACUGACAUGUCUUUCUUCUUUUUAUAUUAAUGUAUCUUUCAACAUUGGCGUAGGUAGAAACUGACUUUUUAUUCUCCGUUUCUUUAUUGCCAAUCCUUUUGUUUAACAUUCUCGUAUUUUCCUCCCAUAAACGGGAGUCUCUUUUUUUUUUUUCACUAUUGUGAUUAAAAAUUAAUUUUAUUGUUUAUUUUAAUUAGGCUUUGUUUGCAAUAAAAAAGGAUAAUAUGAUAAAAUGAUGAUCAAGUGUUAUAAGCAAGUAUUAUAUUGUUAAACUGUUGAACGAAUGAGAUGGCUGGUGGUUUUCGCAAUCUUAUAUAUAUGAAUUUCAAUGGAUUUUCAAAUUUUAAUAUUAAAAUCUCUGAUAAAUUAAUAUCAAUAAUAUUCAAUUCGUCGAGAAGUUGUUAAAAUAUUUAAAAAAAAAAAUCAGCCAUCUUAUACAAUUAUCUAAUAAAUAUAUAUAUAUAUAUAUUGUGUUAACGAAUAAUCACAUUUUUUUCUUUAAUAUAAGUAGCAUGAACAAUUAUGUGCGCUGAGAGAACGUAGGUUGAUAUUUCGAAUGGUGACUAAUAUAUCGUAAUUAAUACAAUUACUAUGACCAUGAAGGAGAAACCACUGAAACGAACGAUCGGUUGAGGAAAUUGAAUCGAAAUAAUUCAACGCCCACAAUUUCACAAUGCAGACAUCAUCGAUUAAAUUUACGGUAUCUUUUAAACCGUUUGUCAAGGAGAGUCGAGUGUUUAAGUGUAGGAUUUUGAUUUCGAAAGAACGAAAAGGGUGAAAGAAGCCGAGGGAGAGAGCGAGGAAUAAUAAUGAGAUUUGGCUCGCUGUUUGUCCCUCCUCCCUCCUUUCUUUCUCUGUUCUUUUCUUUGCAAAUGAACCCAUUUGUAUUCAAUCGUACGACUAAUUCGUCUCGACUCAAUAUCCACGCCUGGAGGUCUCGUGAAAUUUUCGAACAGGGUCGAUGGAUACUCGGCGGAAUUGCAAGAAAUCCUUUAGAAAUAUCUUCGGAAUAACGAUACAUUUUUGACAAAUUUUAAUUAGGAGGAUUAUAAACUUUAGAGAAAUCGUCCGUUUUAUUUGUAUUAAUGUUUUUAUGAAUAAUUAUAAUUGAAAUAAAAUAGCAAGUAUUUCAAGAUGUAUAAACUUUAGUCUGUAGUAUAAUAAAUUAAGAUGAAAUAAUAAAACGAGGGUAGAGUGAUAAAACGAGAAAUAAAGUUUACGAGAUUACUGGGACUGGAAAUUGUCAUAACUUAGGUAGGCAGCCUUAUCAAGAGGAAUGCUAGUAAAAAAGAAAAAAAUUCUGAAAUUGGUCUAAUGGAAUAGAGGGUUUACGUUUAAAUUAGAAUAAAAAUUUAAUCAAAUAAUAUUAUUUCCUUCCAAGAUAAUAAAUUUUCACUCGCGGUAUACAUUUAUCUUUUCUUCUUUCAAUUCAAUUCUCCAAAAUUUACGCAGUAUUUUUUAUUAUAACUUAAAAAUCGUUUCUUAUCGCGUAACAAACAACAAUUUUCCAAACGAAACGUCCCAAAGAAGUAAAAAAUUGAAACAGCAAAACUGAAAGAGAGAGAGAGAGAGAGAGAGAGCAAAAAAGAAAAGUACCACAAAACACAAAGCCGGGGAAAACAAAAAAAAAAAAAAAAAGAUUCUCGUUCACGAUCAAUUUUACAAGUGAACACAAUUUAAAAACCGAAGCGAAACGCCGUAAACGUUAAAAUUGCACAGAAAUCCAUUAAACGUAGUUGAAAAGUUAUAUCGUCCGAAUAAUUACGAUCACCGUGCACCAAAACCGUGUUUCAUUCUUGGAACGCACAAAGGGAGCCGGAAACGGGUGAAAUUCACAGGGUUUACCGGGGUGAUUGAUGCACACCGUGCUACUUUGUCCCGCGAAAUUGGCGGGUAAACGCGGAAUCCAGGCGAAAAACGGUGGAAACGAAAAAGACUCGCGAAUAGAAAUUCGAGCCAAUUUAUUUGCCAAUUGAAGCUUCAAUUAGUUUUCCAGCCACGUUGCAUACGUGGCUCAGUUUUUCCCUCCUUCGUCGCGCUUCAUUUUGUCUUCUUCAUUUUUUCUUUAUCGUGUUUUUUCCCUCCCCUCUUUUGAUUUUUAUAUCCCACGUUUCAGGAAUCGACGACGACCAACUCGUCUCGUCUAUUUUGGAUUUUUUACGCUAUCAUCCUGGCGUCUUCUUUUUUUAUUUUUUCUUUUCUUUCUCUGUCUGUAUAUCUCUCUCUCUCUUUCUCUCUCUCUCUCUCUGUCUCUGUCUCUCUGAUUUUUCUGCCCAUCGGCCCAUGAACGAAUUUUCCGCUCGAUAUUAAAGUCGAUUCCUCUAUCACCGCGCGCAUUCAUCUCGAGAAAUUUCACAGUUUUCGAAAAUUCGACGUUUUCCCUCUAUUUUUAUUCGUUCCAUCUGCGUUCCCCCAUAUUCGUGCCGCUACGAGGCUAUUGUCCGCCGAUUAAAUUGAAGUUUUUCACGGGAGAUCAAGCAUUUCUGGUAUUUCUAACGCUCAACCGUUAACGUAGGAUAUUUUUCAUCAAAUAUUUCCGAUUAAGUUUAUUUUUUUAUUUUUUCGUACGAUUGAAGUUUGUUAUUCUUUAAAAAUUUCAUUCUAUCCCCUUCCCUUUUGUUUCUGACUUCUGACAGAGAAUUCCAAAAUACACAUCUUCGCGGUAUCAUUUUACAGCCAUCUCAAUUUUGCUCCCUUCUUUUCCCUCUCUUUUUCUUUAUUAAAAAUAAAAGAUUCGUGGAAUGGAAAUUCAAACAGACCGGAUAUACGAAGAAAGACAAUCUAACACGCACUUAUCACGUUCCCAUUGUUAGAUAUCUUUUCUUCGUACAACUUUGGAACCAGUCUGGCUUGUUGAAACUUCCUACGCCGAGGCAGAACUUAGAAGUCGCAUGGAAUUAGAUAUAUUUCAAUAGUGGGAUAUAUAAGGGUGACGUUUUAAUAUUAUAAUUUUUUUGUAUCACAUCGUCCAUAAUUUUAUCUGCUGGGAUCAUUUAAAAAAAGUUAACAAUAUUUUAUAAACACGCAUCAAGGUUUUAUUUCUUUAAUUAGAAAUAUUUUUCGAUGCAUCGUUAUUACAAUGGAUGCAAUACGUUAUUUUCUAUAUACACGUUAGAUUUUGAUUAUAAUCUUUGAUAGCACACGAGAUAAGAAUGCACGCGCAAUGAAAGGAUCGAUGGAUGCGCGAUUAUACAACAGAAUCUACGUGACUUAUGAUAACAGAAAUAGAGCAAGUUAAGCGAUUCAGUUUGCGAAAUUGAUCUUGGAUAAGUCAACUCUCCUCGUGAGGAAAAUCCCGUAGCCGUAGCCAAGGAUUUUAGUUAUACAUCAUCCGUUAUACCAUAAGAAGCUCUCGUCGUUCCAUAUUUUAUCCCCGUCUCAUAGAAAUUUAAAAAGAAAUCGAACAGAAAGUUACAACUAAUAAAUAUAAUAACAAAAAAUAACGUUAUUCCACCCUUUAAAGAAUUAUUCCAUAAACAAACUUUCGAUCGAUGGACACAAUUCGUUCUCCACAAUGGCCCAUGAAAAUUAAAGAUCAAGUUUCGAUCCUGUUUUAAUCGAAAUAACAAAUUAUUGCACAUCAAACAAUCCUCAAAUUUUUUUCUAUUAUUCCCAUUCUCAUCUUCCUGAAACGAGAAAUAUAAGUACAAAUAUAAAACUUUCGAUUCGAGUCCAAGAUCCGGUAUCCACUCGCACAGAACAAUAAUUCUGUUGGAAUUAUUUAUCAGGGUGGCGAUCGUGGGGGUCCCGUAAUUCCAUCGUACUUCCGGCCCAGCCUUCAUCGUCCGGUCCACGAAACUGGCGUCUCUCCACAGGAGGAGGGAGCGGCCGCGUUGAUAAUUAAUUCGCCGUAAAAUAGGGAACCUCUUGGUCUCCUCUUCCUCCUCCUCCUACUUGGAGGCGGGGGUCGAGGCCGCCGGCGGUCGUAUAUCGCGGCGAAAGCUGUAAUGCGAGGUUAUUAACGAUCCUGUCGUCGUGGAACUCGCCGUUCUGCUCACACGUUACGUAACGACGCGGCAAUGCCUCAAUCCGAUAACGUGUCCGCAUUCACGUGACGUCAAUACGUUUACGUAAACCGGGCCGGAUCGAUCCUAUCCCGUUUUUUGGCGCACGUUUUACGCACCCAUUGCCGCUUAUUAUCUUCUUUGCUCGUUCCCUUCGAUCUCUGAAAAUGUUAUUAAUUGUUAAUUUCAAUUUUUUCUAUGGACUUUAAUUGCGAACAUUUCUUUGUACCUUUUUUAUUUCUCGUUUCUUAAGAGGAGGAGGGAGAGAGGUUAUGCAAGAUUAAAAUUUGUUUUAUUCGAAAAUUAUAUCUUCAACGGGAGUUUUUGUAAUUUUUGAGGAUUAAGAAAUUUAACUCGUCUUUUUUUUUGGAGAGGGGAAGGAGAUGGUUCUGAUGACGUUAUAGGUGAAAUUGAAAAAAAAAGGACGUGAUGUCAGAAUUAAGGAAUCUGGGAUCUGUACCUCUGGCUCCCAGGAGCUCCAUCAUCCAGUUCACCUUGAUAACCGGAUGUUACUAGGUGGUGAUGCAGGUCAACGUAGGGAGCAGACCCAGGGGAGAACGUGUCUAUGUUUCAUUGCUCGUGUGUCGUGUCAUGGGUUUUCAUCAUGUCUGAGGCUAUUGAGUUUGCGGAUGUCAUAGUUCAGCGGUUCAUAUAGGUUCCUCACAAACAUAGAUACACGUAUAAUUCUCCUAUAUAUAUAGAAAUAAUUCCAAUUUCUGAUUAUUUAAAAAGUAAUAAAUCUCGAGAACGACUGUACUUCUCUACAUGCAAUAUUUAAUAUACACAGAGAAUACAAAUUUGAUUCUCAAUUUAAUGAUAGAUUGAUUUUUCUCGGAGGAAGAGGAAAUUUCAACAAUUCCCAAAUGAAAUAUUUUAACCCAAUUCCGGAUAAAUGAAUUUCUUCCAAGCUGAAUUCUACUUAAUAGUAUUAUUUCAAUUGCGUACUUACCUUCCUUUCGAAAGAUACAAAUUCUCAAAAAUAUCCCACACGUAACACACACAUACACACACACAGUCCGUUGGACGUCUCGAGCGAGGGUUCAUCGAGUUUGCGAAAUUGCGAAUUUCCACGUUCCCAAAGUUCCAAAAGCCCUCGUCUCCCCGACAACCAGGAAGUUACAAGGGUUUCAAUUUGUACCAUUCAAAUCCAGACGAUGCUUCCCUCCCUUACGAUUAAUCUAGUGUGGCGUCGAGAUCGAUCGAUGCGCCCUUUUUGGGGGCCGGGUUAAGUUCGAUCAUCGACACACUGACCUUAAUUACUCUGCUCGUCGUAAUCGGAAAGAAGUUUCCCUCGAGCUCGAGGAAAAGUGAGAGAUUUUUAUCUUAAGAAGACGUCUUAAUGGUUACACAAUCCAUUCCCAACUAUCUAAAGAAGGGAAAAGAAGGUGGAGUGAAUUAAGUGGUCGAAUAAUUUAAAAUGGACGUUGAUUCAAACAUUGGUAACUGGAUAAUCGUUUAACCUCUUCGAUAUGAAAUGUUCAGCUGUCGAAGCUCCUUUCCUUGGUAUUUUGACGUUUACCAACAAUGGGAUAAGUUACAAUAAUUCAAUCGAAAUUUGUUGCAAAUUUCUCAAAUGGUUUAAAAACAAAGUCCUCCCAUAAAUUCAUUUCAACUCGAUCGAUCGAUAAAUUAAUUUUGGAUGACCAAUGAUGGGAUUAUUUUCACGAGAGAAAAAGAGAGAGAGAGAGAAAUUGGUCGUGAACGGGUGACGUCGAUCGUCUGGCGGAGGCAUUCAGGAAAUCCAGCGAUCGGGCAGCCGGUGACGUAAUGGAAACGAGAAGAGAAAACUUCUCGAAUCACGAAAUCGAACGUUUCACACUCGAUUGACACGUCGCUAGGUUUCAUCCUCUACCGGAGGAAAACUUGGACCGCUAUUUCCUCGCUAUUUUCUCCUCAUCCAUUUCAACCUCUUCCAACUCUCUUCUCUCUCUGCAUGCAACAAUCUUUUAAGAAUAUGUGCACACAAUCGGUUACAAAAGUCUUUUCUUGAUACUAUACCUAUGCUAUUUCAUCGUUUAUGUUAAUAAUUUUGCAAUCAAGUAUCCAGAUCUUAAAUCAAACAAUCAUUUUAUUUAAAAGAUCAAAUCUAAUGUUUCCAAAAAAUGAAUUUAGAAAUAGUGUUGCAUUCAAUGAAAUUACGAGAUCGAAUAUAAUAUAACAGAUAAUCUCAGCAAGUAAAAAAAAUAAGUUUAUAAUUUCAUGAUUGAUCAUUUGUUGUAAAACGACCUGCAUAUAUUUAAUCAGAUUUUAUUCAAAUUCAUUUUACAAUCUAUACACAUAUCUUAUUUUUUCUAUUCUCUUUAAUCACAGAAAAAUAAGUAUAACGAAGCAUUUGGACGCUUAAUAAUUAUUUAUCCACCGUAUUUUAUCGUAUCCAAAAAAAAUAAUACUAAAGAAAGAUCCCAAGAGGGGAUCGAUUCCAUCCUCCCCUCUUUUUUUUCGAAUUAUUCGAAUCGAGAUGCUUAAAAUUUCUUAAAAGACGCAACGAAAAAAAAAAGCACAAUUUUCAUUCUUAAACAAGACGAGAUAUAUCCCUGAAUUUUUCCCAUUGACUGUAUACACUGUCCGCCGACUGUCCCGUCGGAAUUUAAUGUCCCGUGAAACGAGCCUUUCCUCUCUUACUCCUCCGUUUCCGAACUCGCCACCUCUCGCCCUCUUUAUCAUUAUCCCCACAGUUGCUCACCGCGUAAAACCGACACCGGAGCUUCGCUGACAAAUGCCCGCUAAUAGAAUGUUCUCUCGCAAAUUGUAGCUUUUUCACGGGAUGAUGGGGAGGGGAAUCUCGUUAGCCAGUCGCGAAUACAGUGAUGAGUUGAACUUGUUUUAAGAAAACUUUUGUUGGAAUUUUUUUUUUUCUUUUUCUUCUUUUUGGAAAGCAAAGAUUAUGAGAAUCAAUAGGAAAGAUGUUUGAUCCCAGGGGAAAUUGGAGAAGUGUAUAUAUUAUUGUAAAAGAAAUGAGAUAAGGAAUAGUAGAGUUCGUUGCAUCAGUUGUACGAAUUGAAUUUGGUAUUUUUUUUAAAACGUAAAGGAUGUAAGCAGAUGUGAAAAAUGCGCGCGAAGCUUUUGUACCAUGUUGAAUUUUUCAUUAGAAUGUUAUAUGAUACUUUCAAAAGGUUCAAAAAUAGUAAAAAAAAAAAAAAAAAAAAAAA